rnacentral:rRNA from 1 species
AGUGAACGCUGGCGGUAGGCCUAACACAUGCAAGUCGAACGGCAGCACAGUAAGAGCUUGCUCUUACGGGUGGCGAGUGGCGGACGGGUGAGGAAUACAUCGGAAUCUACUUUUUCGUGGGGGAUAACGUAGGGAAACUUACGCUAAUACCGCAUACGACCUACGGGUGAAAGCAGGGGAUCUUCGGACCUUGCGCGAUUGAAUGAGCCGAUGUCGGAUUAGCUAGUUGGCGGGGUAAAGGCCCACCAAGGCGACGAUACGUAGCUGGACUGAGAGGAUGAUCGGCCACACGGGAACUGAGACACGGUCCAGACUCCUACGGGAGGCAGCAGUGGGGAAUAUUGGGCAAUGGGCGCAAGCCUGAUCCAGCCAUACCGCGUGGGUGAAGAAGGCCUUCGGGUUGUAAAGCCCUUUUGUUGGGAAAGAAAAGCAGCAGGUUAAUACCCCGCUGUUCUGACGGUACCCAAAGAAUAAGCACCGGCUAACUUCGUG